rnacentral:rRNA from 1 species
GACGAACGCUGGCGGCGUGCUUAACACAUGCAAGUCGAACGGAAAGGCCCCUUUGGGGGUACUCGAGUGGCGAACGGGUGAGUAACACGUGAGUAACCUGCCCUUGACUUCGGGAUAACUUCAGGAAACUGGGGCUAAUACCGGAUAGGAAUCCUUGCUGCAUGGUGGGGGUUGGAAAGCUUCGGCGGUUUUGGAUGGACUCGCGGCUUUCAGCUUGUUGGUGGGGUAGUGGCUUACCAAGGCUUUGACGGGUAGCCGGCCUGAGAGGGCGACCGGCCACAUUGGGACUGAGAUACGGCCCAGACUCCUACGGGAGGCAGCAGUGGGGAAUAUUGCACAAUGGGCGGAAGCCUGAUGCAGCAACGCCGCGUGCGGGAUGACGGCCUUCGGGUUGUAAACCGCUUUCAGCAGGGGCGAAGCUUGUGGUGACGGUACCUGCAGAAGAAGCACCGGCUAACUACGUG